rnacentral:rRNA from 2 species
UGGUAAUAAUGGCAGAGAGGUCACACCCGUUCCCAUACCGAACACGGAAGUUAAGCUCUCUAGCGCCGAUGGUAGUUGGGACCUUGUCCCUGUGAGAGUAGGACGUUGCCAGGCA